rnacentral:rRNA from 1 species
AGAGUUUGAUCAUGGCUCAGGAUGAACGCUAGCGGCAGGCUUAAUACAUGCAAGUCGAACGGUAAGCGGGUAGCAAUACCUGCCUAGAGUGGCGCACGGGUGCGUAACGCGUAUGCAACCUACCUUUAACUGGGGGAUAGCCCGGAGAAAUUCGGAUUAAUACCCCAUAGUAACACUGAUGGGCAUCUGUUGGUGUUUAAAGCUUUUUUGCGGUUAGAGAUGGGCAUGCGUUCCAUUAGCUAGUUGGUGUGGUAAUGGCAGACCAAGGCUACGAUGGAUAGGGGACCUGAGAGGGCGAUCCCCCACACUGGUACUGAGACACGGACCAGACUCCUACGGGAGGCAGCAGUAAGGAAUAUUGGGCAAUGGACGCAAGUCUGACCCAGCCAUGCCGCGUGCAGGAAGACGGCCUUAUGGGUUGUAAACUGCUUUUGUCAGGGAAUAAAAGCCUGUACGGGAUACGGGUUUGCAGGUACCUGAAGAAUAAGCAUCGGCUAACUCCGUGCCAGCAGCCGCGGUAAUACGGAGGAUGCGAGCGUUAUCCGGAUUCAUUGGGUUUAAAGGGUGCGCAGGCGGGCGAAUAAGUCAGGGGUGAAAUUCCACGGCUCAACUGUGGGUCUGCCUUUGAUACUGUUUGUCUUGAGUUUAGUUGAGGUGGGCGGAAUGUAGCAUGUAGCGGUGAAAUGCAUAGAUAUGCUACAGAACACCGAUAGCGGAGGCAGCUCACCAAGCUAUAACUGAC